UUUUAUGAAGACCAGAGGCCAUGAUUUUUGC
rnacentral:piRNA from 1 species